rnacentral:misc_RNA from 1 species
GCAAACUUGGUCAUUUAGAGGAAGUAAAAGUCGUAACAAGGUCUCCGUUGGUGAACCAGCGGAGGGAUCAUUACCGAGUUUUUUUACUCAAAACCCAUUGUGAACUUACCACUGUUGCUUCGGCGAGUUGUGUAAAAGCAAGUCGCCGGAGGUAUCAAACUCUUUGUUUUUAUAAAGCAUUUCUGAGUAAAGAAUAUAAAUAUUCAAAACUUUCAGCAACGGAUCUCUUGGUUCUGGCAUCGAUGAAGAACGCAGC